rnacentral:tRNA from 1 species
AGUUACUUAGCUUAUAAAAAGCAUAUAUUUUGAAAAUAUAAGAAAGAUUAAAUUUAGUAACUU